UUAUAUGGUGGAUUACAUUGAUUAAUUUCUAAGGAGGAGGUAACCCAAGAGGUACUGUUCUAAAUAAACAUCAAAUGACAUCUCAUCAACUUAGAAGGGACAACUGUCAUCAAAUUUCUAAAGGUCCCAAAGGUGAUCUAUAUGAAAUACUACUUUCCUGACUGCAUGUCCUGCCAAAGAUUUUCCUUAUGGCGAUCAAAUCCUCUGCCUAUCAUGCCGUAACUGCUGCUCUCCUUUCUGGCCUGCGAGUUUGCCCACCCUCAGCUUCUGAUGGGAGAAGAAUCACAUCAGGUUUACCCUUUGUGUUUGCUCCAUUUCACUUAGCUGAGGUUUCAGGUUGCUUGUAACAUGUCUGAAUUUGUUCCUUUUUAAGACCAAACAGUGUGGCUACCAUAUCUUAUUCCUAUACUCACCUGACAAUACCAAUUUGGGUUGUCUCCACUUUGCACUAUUAUAAAUACAAUGCCACAAACAAUGUAUUGACGUAUUUAUUUGAGUUCUGCUUUUAUCCCUUUGAAUGCAUACCUGGGUAUGGAAUCUGUGAACAGUUAUAACUGUUCCCUAAAUCUGUAGAGCACUUACUGUUUUCCAUGGCAACCACACUGUUUUAUGUUCCCUGUCAAUUCUCAUUUUCCAUUUUUAAAAUUUUUAUGUUUUUAAACAAUAGUCAUCUUGACUCGUGUGAAGUUGUACUCAAUGGUUUUAAUAGGUCUAUUAAUCAACCCAACAAUUCUAGUGUAUAACCACAGUCAAGUCUACUGAUGCAUUGUUGAUGUGGGAUG